rnacentral:lncRNA from 1 species
GGCCGGGCGCGCUCCCUUCUGGGCGAGCACGUGCGAGGCGCGCGCCAUGGAACGGCCCUUAGCUGAGUUUCGGUUUGCGCCGAAACUGCCGGCCUGGCGGCCCAACGCAGCAUUUCCAGCCAGGACGCAUAAACCUCGGGAGAGAAGGUGGAAGCCGCAGCGACUCUAAAGGCAGCCCCCGGCUGACUAAAGCUGUUCUUGGCCUGUCAUACUUUCUCCUUCCUAGGAAAUUGCUGAUGAUGAAGGGAUCAAGAAACUGUAAUAUAUAUUCACAAAGAAAUAUUCUUUGGCCAUCAAGAUAAUUAAAGGAUGUCAUCUGGAGGAACACAGGCGGCCCGCCGAGGCUGCAGCUGCCUUGUCCUGCACUGUGGAUGGAAGCCUGCACUGUGGACGGAAGCCUGCACUGUGGACGGAAGCCUGCACUGUGGACGGAAGCCACUCUUCUGACAAGAGGUGGAGCUCAGGUGGUAAUGCUCGCUCCUGCUGUGCCACCAGGUUCCUAACAGGCCACGGACGGUACUGGUCCGGGGUGGGGGACCCCUGCUCCAGAUGACAGCCAGAGUAGUCUUAAAUGACCUUGUGCUGUGCACGAAGGUGGUAUGCAAUCAGAAGACGUCUGAGACAAGUAUGCAUCUCCCACCACAACAUUAUAUGAUGCUUGGAGUAAAAACAGUCAUCCCUGUUCCUACCUACAAUUGUAUUAUUCAAUCAAAAUUGCUGCCAGACAUGGUGGCUCAUACCUGUAGUCCCAGCACUUUGGGAGGCCGAGGCCGGGCAGAUCGCUUGAGACCAGGAUUUGAGACUAGCCUGGACAACAUGGUGAGCCCCCAUCUCUGCAGAAAUAAAAUAAAAUACAAUUAGCCAGGUGUGGUGGCCUGUGCCUAUAGCCUCAGCUACUGGGGAGGCUGAGGCUGGAGAAUAGCUGGAGCCCUGGAGUUCCAGGCAACAGUGAGCCGUGAUGGCGGCAUACUGCACUCCAAAUUGGGUGGCAGAGCGAGACCCUGUCAAAAAAAAAAAAAAAAAAAACAAGAUUGCAUUAUUCAAUCUUUUUCCCAUAUCUAAUUUAUAUAGUUACAUAAUUACAUUCUAGUAUUUGCAUAUACUGAGAACUACAUAUAAUUUAGAAUUAUGCUGUUUUCACUUGUAUAUCACGUACAUUUCCCUGUAUAGAUAUAUAACAUCUCUAUUUGUCUUUUUCCACUUGACAGCUAUGUUUCUCAAAUUGAUAUACUGUGAUCUCCUAAGCCAGUUACAGAUUGAUACGGAUUUAAAUUACUUCCUAUUUUCUGUUUUAUAAACAAUAAACACUGUUAUGAUAUAGUUUUCA